rnacentral:rRNA from 1 species
UUGCCCUACGGGGGGCAGCAGUGGGGAAUAUUGGACAAUGGGGGGAACCCUGAUCCAGCGACGCCGCGUGAGUGAAGAAGUAUUUCGGUAUGUAAAGCUCUAUCAGCAGGGAAGAAAAUGACGGUACCUGACUAAGAAGCCCCGGCUAACUACGUGCCAGCAGCCGCGGUAAUACGUAGGGGGCAAGCGUUAUCCGGAUUUACUGGGUGUAAAGGGAGCGUAGGUGGCAGGGCAAGUCAGAUGUGAAAGCCCGGGGCUCAACCCCGGUACUGCAUUUGGAACUGUCCAGCUGGAGUGCAGGAGAG